GGUAGUUUCCUGCAACCUAUCUUCUAUUCACACACACUUGAGCCAACAUGCAAGGUCUACUUCUCUUCUACCAAUUUUGGGGAUUGUUUCUUCACUGUUCUGGUGUACUUUAUUCUCAAAAGCAGUGGUGAUACUCAUUGGCCCCAAUGAUUGCCCCAUUGUCAGCACCCAGCAACAUCUCAUGGUUAGCGUCCAUGGCUGAAUGCUGCCAGGGCAUGAUUCUGGAUCCUCUCUACAGCCAGCUGUCUGACUAAACUAAAUGAAGAAAUGGAAGAUGCUCACACUUAUAACACGUUUUGGAAGAGAUGGAUAAGAGAUGUUAUAAUUGCUUGUAGAGACACUGCAGGGUAUACCAAUAUCAGAG